UGUGACGGCCAUAGUGGUGGGGUCACACCCGGUCUCAUUCCGAACCCGACGGUUAAGCCCAUCACGUUUCGCAUGUGUACUGUCUUCCGCGAGGGGACGGGAAGUGUGAUUCGCUGUCACAU
rnacentral:rRNA from 1 species